rnacentral:tRNA from 1 species
ACCAGGAUUGCUGAGUGGUUAAGGCAUUGGACUCAAGUUCCAAUGGAUGUAUGUCCACCUGGGUUCAAACCCCACUCCUCGUA